rnacentral:rRNA from 1 species
UACGGAGGGAGCUAGCGUUGUUCGGAAUUACUGGGCGUAAAGCGCACGUAGGCGGCUUUGUAAGUUAGAGGUGAAAUCCCGGGGCUCAACCUCGGAACUGCCUUUGAUACUGCAAAUCUCGAGUCCGGAAGAGGUGAGUGGAAUUCCUAGUGUAGAGGUGAAAUUCGUAGAUAUUAGGAAGAACACCAGUGGCGAAGGCGGCUCACUGGUCCGGUACUGACGCUGAGGUGCGAAAGCGUGGGGGAGCAAACAGG